GAUGAAGAACGUAGCGAAAUGCGAUAAGUAAUGUGAAUUGCAGAAUUCAGUGAAUCAUCGAAUCUUUGAACGCACAUUGCGCCUUCUGGUAUUCCGGGGGGCAUGCCUGUUCGAGCGUCAUUAUAACCACUCAAGCUCUCGCUUGGUAUUGGGGUUCGCGGUUCCGCGGCCCCUAAAAUCAGUGGCGGUGCCUGUCGGCUCUACGCGUAGUAAUACUCCUCGCAAUUGAGUCCGGUAGGUCUACUUGCCAGCAACCCCCAAUUUUUACAGGUUGACCUCGGAUCAGGUAGGGAUACCCGCUGAACUUAAGCAUAUCAAUAAGCGGAGGA
rnacentral:misc_RNA from 1 species